GCCUUCCUUGCCUCCUACUGGACCUGCUAUAAAGACACUUCUGAUCACUAUGGAAAAACAGGGAGUAUAUUUUCCUUCGAAACCUUUGAAAAUCACCCUGCUCAGCUCUGGAGCCCGAUUUUGUCGCAGACCACUUUGUCCAAAACUCUGCCUCAGCAUGCUGUGCAUUGUUGAAUUGCAGCGUGACAACACAAGCUCUCUGUGGAAUCAGAGCUCGCAUGUGAUCCCAUCAUCUCAAGAUUCCUGCUGAGCUCAGGGUUCUAGAGAAGAUCAACAGAACGAAACUUCUCAAGAACAGCAAGGCAUUCAGACAUUUAAAAUUUGCUUGAUUUCCAGUUAAAUUAUCAGAGAUCCUGAAGAGAUCAGUGCAAACACAACCUACUUUUGUUUUUGAUUAAAUUGACUUUUCAGACACUAGAACCUGCUUUUAAUAAAUGAAAGAUGCCACUUUACUUACUGCUGGCCACAAUGGCAUGUAUUUAUUUUUGUUUGCUACUUUAAUACCUUAAUCUGACUAGCUAAGCAUGUUUUCAUUGUUGAAGGCUUUAUGGACAUAAGGAGUUUUUCAAGGAACAUUAAAUGUCACAAUUAGUGUGUCAACUACCUCAGCAGAUUAAAUGUUCUAUUUUCCUGCACUUUUUUUGCAUUCAGAUUCUGUUUUGGGAUGUUCUCAAACACUAAAAAUAGCAUAUCUCAGGACACACAGGAGCCAGACUCUGUCACUGACUCUUGUCUCCAGCUCUCUGUCUUUUGCAGGUGACCAAAACUAGCUUUUUGAUUCCAAAUGCCAAUCGCCUGCACCUGUCACAGAGUACUGAGAUGGGCUGUCUCACGAUGCUGCGUUAAUCCACAUUCAUCAGACAAACAGGCAUGGCAGGUCACCGCAAGCUGACGUUUUAUGUGCAGUGACGGUGGAGGCAACAGGGACUUUAAACAGCUUUCCUGGAAAAGAGCUGUAACCAUUAAGGAAAACCAAAAGCUCAUGCUUGUGGUGAUUUGCACAGAAAAGGAGCUCCUGCUUUCCGUCAACGGCCAUGUUCCUGAAUGGGACUAGCAGUCCAGGGGUUCUGUAACCUGUGGACUAACUGGAGUAAAGGUUCCCUCUUAAAACCGAAAAAGUGGGGGCUAAUUAAAUUUCAUUUGACAUUGCACUGAUCAUUACCUUGCUGUAUAAAUACAAAAGUAUAAAUAAUACAUGUGCUUACUGAAUUAAGAAAAAAUUGCAUAAUUGUCUCUAGCACUGUCGGGCAUUCUUUGUGAAUGGCUUAUUUAAAGACCAAAGUAGUAGAGGGGAUUACAAUACUCACAAGCUGACUAGAAGAGUGAGCAAAUGAGCGCAGGGGAAAAGAGAAUAAUAGAUGCAGCUCCAAGUAGCUUUUUACACGAUGCCAGGAAGUGUCAACAAGAAGGUGCAUUCAUUUAGUGGAAUUAUUGCACUGACAAAGGCCGUUUACCUUUGCAGAUUGGAUGUGCGACUCCUAAGAGUUUGACUCCCCUCAUCAGUUUAAUUGCGCUGCUUUUCCCUGAAAGGAUGCAUCAUUGCCUGCUGAGACUAUUCAGAAGUGUGUGUUUCACUCUUAGGGUUGAGCACAAACCAUCAAAUACACCUGUCAUUGGAUUUCAAUACUACAAAAAAGAUUAACAAAACAGCAUUUAGUGUUUAGCAUGGCUACACUGUACUCAUGAUUCCUAGGCAGGAGGAAUCUGAUCUGUAGCUCACAAUAACAUCACAUCUUGUUACUUUUAAUACGUUUUCUAAAAAAAAAAGGAUAAAGGAAUCAACUGCUAGGAUAUUUUUUUUAUCAUCAUUACCGAUUUGGCUGAUAAUUCUGUAUCAUUCUGUAACAUGAUUUUGUAACAUUGAAUCUUAAAUAUUGUACUACAACCUGUAUCUUUACAAGGAGAAGAAAAUCACCAACUCUCCAUGUUUAUAAAAUGAACAUAUCUUGCUUUAUAGUGGUUUUGCCUGAUUUGCACCAUUGAGUUUCAAACUGUACAUGCCCAUACUUUUACCAUGGUAUUUCACAGUCAUCCUUAAAAGGUUUGUUUUAAAACUUUUUUCCUGCAGUGUUGAUAGACAGCACCUACUGGGUUAAGUUAGCUCCAACAAUUUCAUGAUAGCAGUAAUUUCAUUGCUUUGUAAGUUGCAGGGAACAACUCGGGAGUCUCAGUUUCUCUCUUAUACAUUUCUAUAUAAAAACAUUUUCCUCUGAAUGAAGCCGGAGAACCUGUCAGGGACAGAAUGAAUCGGGGUUUUGCAGAUCUGUAGAGUGUGAAGCACAGGCAGUGCUCCACAGAGACAGAGUGGAGCGAAAAGGACUGUGUGUUCCUGAUCUACGAGCUGACAAGAGCCGGCACUCCAGAACUAAUCUGCGAGUGGCACAUGGCGUUAAAGCACAGGACGCUACAUUCUCGGAAAAACUAAGGCAUGGGACUGGGGGAGCCACAUGACUCACAGGAGGAGAGGAAAGACAGAGGACAGAUCUGGGAAUUGUUCUGCCAUAACAAUCACAUUCGUGGCUUCCUUAGUGCUUAUGAGCUAUUCAGUCUUGC
rnacentral:lncRNA from 1 species